rnacentral:rRNA from 1 species
AGCAGCCGCGGUAAUUCCAGCUCCAAUAGCGUAUAUUAAAGUUGCUGCAGUUAAAAAGCUCGUAGUUGAAUUUCGGGACCAUCAUGUCGGUCGUGCCUCGGUACGUACUGGCAUUGUUGGUUUCUACCUUCUGACGAACCAUGAUGUCAUUAAUUUGGUGUCUUGGGGAAUCAGGACUGUUACUUUGAAAAAUUGAGUGUUUAAAGCAGGCUCGCGCUUGAAUACAUUAGCAUGGAAUAAUGAAAUAGGACGUUUGAUUCUAUUUUGUUGGUUUCUAGGAUCGACGUAAUGAUUAAUAGGGAUAGUUGGGGGCAUUAGUAUUCAACUGUCAGAGGUGAAAUUCUUGGAUUUAUUGAAGACUAACUACUGCGAAAGCAUUUGCCAAGGAUGUUUUCAUUAAUCAAGAACGAAAGUUAGGGGAUCGAAGACGAUCAGAUACCGUCGUAGUCUUAACCAUAAACUAUGCCGACUAGGGAUCGGAUGAUGUUAAUUUUUAAUGACUCAUUC